rnacentral:rRNA from 1 species
AGGAUUCCCUAGUACGGCGAGUGAAGCGGGAAGAGCUCAAAUUUGUAAUCUGGCGGUCUAUGGCCGUCCGAGUUGUAGUCUGGAGAAGCGUCUUCUGCGCCGGACCGUGUACAAGUCCCUUGGAACAGGGCGUCACAGAGGGUGAGAAUCCCGUCUUUGACACGGACCGCCGGCGCUCUGCGAUGCGCUCUCGAAGAGUCGAGUUGUUUGGGAAUGCAGCUCAAAAUGGGUGGUAAAUUCCAUCUAAAGCUAAAUACCGGCGAAAGACCGAUAGCGAACAAGUACCGUGAGGGAAAGAUGAAAAGCACUUUGGAAAGAGAGUUAAACAGUACGUGAAAUUGUUGAAAGGGAAACGCUUGAAGUCAGUCGCGUCUCCCGGGACUCAGCCUUGCUUUGCUUGGUGCACUUCCCGGGAUCGACGGGCCAGCAUCGAUUUCGACCGUCGGAGAAAGGUCUUGGGAAGGUGGCACCCUUCGGGGUGUGUUUAUAGCCCUCGGCCACAUGCGACGGUCGGGAUCGAGGACCGCAGCGCGCCUUCUCGGCCGGGGUUCGCCCACGUAACGCGCUUAGGAUGCUGGCGUAAUGGCUUUAAGCGACCCGUCUUG